rnacentral:rRNA from 1 species
AGUGAACGCUGGCGGUAGGCCUAACACAUGCAAGUCGAACGGCAGCACAGUAAGAGCUUGCUCUUACGGGUUGCGAGUGGCGGACGGGUGAGGAAUACAUCGGAAUCUACUUUUUCGUGGGGGAUAACGUAGGGAAACUUACGCUAAUACCGCAUACGACCUACGGGUGAAAGCAGGGGAUCUUCGGACCUUGCGCGAUUGAAUGAGCCGAUGUCGGAUUAGCUAGUUGGCGGGGUAAAGGCCCACCAAGGCGACGAUCCGUAGCUGGUCUGAGAGGAUGAUCAGCCACACUGGAACUGAGACACGGUCCAGACUCCUACGGGAGGCAGCAGUGGGGAAUAUUGGACAAUGGGCGCAAGCCUGAUCCAGCCAUACCGCGUGGGUGAAGAAGGCCUUCGGGUUGUAAAGCCCUUUUGUUGGGGAAGAAAAGCAGCAGGUGAAUACCCCGCUGUUCUGACGGUACCCAAAGAAUAAGCACCGGCUAACUUCGUG